AGAAAAGCGGCUGGGCAUGGUGGCUCACACCUGUAAUACCAACACUUUGGGAGGCCGAGGUUGGUGGAUCACCUGAGGGUCUCACUGUGUCACUCAGGUGGGAGUGCAGUGCCAUGAUCAUAGCCCACUGCUGCCUUGAUCUCCUGAGCUUAAGCGAUCCUCCCGGCCUCAGCCUCCAGAGUAGCUGGAACUACAGCUACUUGGAGUGUGAUGGGAGAGCCUGGUUUCUAAGGUAACCACAGACAGGAAGGUAGCAAGCUGGGGACGCUGAAGGGCACACCUGGAAGGUGACCCUGCAAACAAUGCAGACCUCUCACUGUGAGUAAAGGGCCUGGCAUGAUGCCUGUGACAAGGAGACAGCACAGGUAAUAAAAGGAAAGCCAACCACAGACCCUGGAGCCAGACUGCCUGGGUUCCAGCUCUGUGACUCUGGCACCCUAGGAGAAUGACAGCAACCUGGAGUUCAUCUCUUUAAAAGAAACACCAGUCAGGGAUGGAGAUGUCUGCUCAUGGGUGACAAGUUGCUUCUCUAGAAUUCACAUCGUGAACCACUCAAGGUUUUUCAUCACUGCUCUCCGUCAGCUAUUCAAUCAAGCAUUGAGUUUCUAGAAUCUCUCCCAGAAAUAAAAGCUGACCAUACCCACCUACCCACCUUUUUCUUUGCUUCUCACUACUUAAAGAUAAUCAGGUAUGAAUUCUAGCCUCAAUCUAUCAAUUA